rnacentral:lncRNA from 10 species
CGCUAAGUAUCUGAGUGUGUCACAGAGCUAGUAAAAGGCAGAGCUGGGAUCAGAUACAUUGAUUCAUUCACUCAAAAACCUUUUUUUAUCGAGUGCAUACUAUGUAUCAGCCUCUGGGUACUGAGCAUGGGAGCAGAAUCAGACACCCCGAACUGACAGGGCUCACAGACGAGAAGGGGAGACAGUUCUCAAUCAUAGAAAUCACUUGUUCUCACAAACGGUGACACGUGCUAUGAAGAAAAAGGCCUGAGAACUAGGAGGGCAUCUAGAGGCGCCCUUUCUGGUCUAGGCGUCCUACAGGCAGCUGGAGGAAGACGUCUGAGCUGACAUCAGAUUCAUGGGUAGGAGUCUACCAGGCCAGGGGGGGUGGACUCCUAGGAGCGGGAUGGCUGGGUGAAGGAUAUGAACUCUGUUAAGGGUUUUGAUGCAUAUUGCCAAACCACUUUCCAAAAAGCCCGUGAUGAUUCCUCCCCGAUCGGCAGCUCACAGGUGCACCUUUCCCCACGCAGGAGGACUUCUCACCUAACUUUACUCAGGCGUUAACAUCUGAGCUUUUUCUGACUCAAUUCCUGUUAAAUGUCUAUAACUGCGGGGGAGUCUUCCAGUUCUACAGAUGCAUGGAAUCUGCGUUGUGUGGUGAGGAGAGGCAGCUGAUGGACCCACCCUGCCUGGAAGAACAGCACCGUGGGGAAGCGCAAAGGGCUGGGCGCCAGUGACCCCUCCACAGACUAUUUUGGAAGAAAUAUGGGUCCAAAUGAACUGCCCUGUGACAACUGAAGUGCCAGCUUCUAGGACAGCCUCAAAAGGGAAAUCGAGUUGUCACCACUCUUCUCCCUUUCACCAGCAAAGUUCUCAGAAGGGGGCACCGUUUCUUCCUCGAGCUCCUGGUCUGUGUUUUGAACUCAGCGUCAAGGCAUCGUCCUUCAGAGAUCCUGUCCACCUCUGGGUCCGCGUCUCUUUGUGAUCAACUCCAGCCUCUUCCCUCCUUCCCAUGAGCUCUGCAUUGCACCUGGGUCCACCUGGACCCCAGCCACGGUCACCGUGGCUGAACUCGAUUCUUUGUCCUCUGUACCCUGUGGAACUUAGUCUGUGUCCCUCCCGCCACGUCGCCUGAUGCUGUAUGUGGGAGCCGUCUUCCUGGUGGACAGUGAGCUCCCUGGGCAGGCACUGAGUGUCCCUAUGGUAUCCCUUGUAGGGUACACCUUGAGGAUACACCUCACCCACUGUAGGUAUCCAAGUAACAUUUGAUCCAGUGAAUAAGUAUGAAUGAAUGAAGGAUAUUGUUAAGUAUGAAUGAACGAAGGAUAUUGUUUUCCCCGUUUCUGGAGAAAAAAAUCCACAAAAGCCUGUUUGUCUUGGUGUUGCUUUUUUUGUACCCUUUAACCCAUUCCACAGAUUAGCAACAACAUGUAUUUCAUUGGUGGUUCUUAAUAAACAUUAAAUUAGGCCAGGUGCAGUGGCUCACACCUGUAUUCCCAGCACUUUGGGAGGCAGAGGAGGGAGGAUCACUUGAGCCCAG